UUAAGAGGGAAGUAGUUAAGACUUGCAGUGAUGUUUAGGUAACUCAACUCAUGAACAUCACUUUAAGUCUGUGCUACCUCCACUCUUUCA
rnacentral:pre_miRNA from 8 species